CUUGAACGCUGUCGGCAUGGCUAAAACAUGCAAGUCGAGGGAGAAGCCCACUUCGGUGGGUGGAAACCGGCGGAAGGGCGAGGAAUACGAUCGAACGUACCCCGAGGUGGGGGAUAGCGUCGGGAAACCGGCGGUAAUACCCCAUGUGCUCCCCGGAGGAAAGCUACGGCGCCUUGGGAGCGGCGAUCGUCCUAUCAGGUUGUUGGUGAGGUAAAAGCUCACCAAGCCUCAGACGGGUAGCGGGUGUGAGAGCACGACCCGCCGCAUCGGAACUGAGACACUGUCCGG
rnacentral:rRNA from 1 species